UACGGAGGGUGCAAGCGUUAUCCGGAUUCACUGGGUUUAAAGGGUGCGUAGGCGGGCAGGUAAGUCAGUGGUGAAAUCUCCGAGCUUAACUCGGAAACUGCCGUUGAUACUAUCUGUCUUGAAUAUUGUGGAGGUAAGCGGAAUAUGUCAUGUAGCGGUGAAAUGCGUAGAUAUGACAUAGAACACCUAUUGCGAAGGCAGCUUACUGCGCAAUCAUUGACGCUGAGGCACGAAAGCGUGAGGAUCAAACAGG
rnacentral:rRNA from 1 species